rnacentral:rRNA from 1 species
GCGCGAAAACUUUACAAUGCUGGCAACAGCGAUAAGGGAACCUCGAGUGCCAGGUUACAAACCUGGCUGUCGAGAUGCCUAAAAAGCAUUUCAUAGCAAGGGCCGGGCAAGACCGGUGCCAGCCGCCGCGGUAACACCGGCGGCUCGAGUGGUAACCGUUAUUAUUGGGUCUAAAGGGUCUGUAGCCGGCCGGAUAAGUCUCUUGAGAAAUCUGGCAGCUUAACUGUCAGGCUUUCAGGAGAUACUGUCUGGCUCGAGGCCGGGAGAGGUGAGAGGUACUUCAGGGGUAGGGGUGAAAUCUUGUAAUCCUUGAAGGACCACCAGUGGCGAAGGCGUCUGACCAGAACGGACCUGACGGCAAGGGACGAAAGCUAGGGGGACGAACC